UACGUAGGGUGCGAGCGUUAAUCGGAAUUACUGGGCGUAAAGCGUGCGCAGGCGGUUAUAUAAGACAGAUGUGAAAUCCCCGGGCUCAACCUGGGCACUGCAUUUGUGACUGUAUAGCUAGAGUACGGUAGAGGGGGAUGGAAUUCCGCGUGUAGCAGUGAAAUGCGUAGAUAUGCGGAGGAACACCGAUGGCGAAGGCAAUCCCCUGGACCUGUACUGACGCUCAUGCACGAAAGCGUGGGGAGCAAACAGGGUUAGUACCGGUAGUCC
rnacentral:rRNA from 1 species